GGUACUCUCCUAUAUCAUUUGUCUUCUCAUCACUGCACCUAGUUUACUGAGUCACUCUGACUCUCACAACUCUGACAAUUCAGAUCCCUUCUUCCCUGGGCUUUGAUGAUCAGGAAAGACUGUCCUGUACUGAAUUUAUUACCCUAUGCUACUUGUCCAGACCUAUACAAUCUUCAUUUAAAAUAUGAAAAGAGCAAAGGGAACAUAUGGAAAAGCCAUAAAGAAAGUGAAGUGUCUAGAUAGCAAAAUAAGAAUACCUGGAAGCAGUAACCAAAUGUAUGUUAACUUACACAUUAAACUUACAAGGUAUACAGAGGAUUUGAGCAUUUUAUGAAAAAAAAUACAAAUAUAGAAAUGGAAACAGUAACAUUAUUAGUCAGCAGUUCAGGGACAAUAGUCAAAAACUGGGAAGAAAAUAAAUAAUUUGGAAUGUGGGCAUAUUAUUGAAAAAAUAGUGUCUUACAUACUGCUAGUUUGAAAAAAUAAAAGUAUAAAUUGAACAUUGUGAACUAAUUCCUUUGAUAUGAACUCAGAGAGAAUCACACGAGUACACAUUAUAAUAGAACUGACAAAAGAUGACUACAAAUCUGAGAUAGAGUGAGAAAUAUAAGUUUCUUGGAGCAGGAAGAGAAAUGUAUGAAUUUACACUCACUUCCUGAAAGGGGAAACCUCUAGCACAUAGCACGUCCACACUUCUUCUCAGGUUCUUUGGUCCAGAGUUAUGAUAAAGUAAACCUAUGUAUAUUAGGGUCCUUUCUACACAUGUUUCUUACUUUUUCACAGAGUAUUAGAGCCUUCGGACCUGUAGGAGAAAUGAAGGAUGAAAGGAAAAUGUAGUACUUACCAAAUACUG
rnacentral:lncRNA from 1 species